GUGAUAGUGUUUUUGACUUUUUCGUAGUUGCAGUUCAUCCUCGAUUGGAAGCCACUUUCGAUUUAAUACACAAAACCACACCUACUACAAACUACCCACGUGUUGGCACGUGUGACUUCCCACGUGCUCUCACGUGGGCCAGAUUAAGAUAGCCCCGCCCACUUAUUUCUUCCAAAAGCAAAAACUUUUGGGGUGAUUCAAAGUCGACACGCGCUCCAUACUUCUCUCUGCCCCCCUGGGUGUCCUAAGAAGAGCUUUUGCUAAAGACUACAAGAGUAUGAUCCGAACCUUCAUUACGACAGAUGGGAUAUUCAAAUAUGGAUGAAUCCACCAGUGACCACCCAGACGUCUUCAAAUCCAGUAUAGGUCCUACAAGUGAACUUACUUAUUAUGUAGUGGCUAAUCAAGAAACCCAGCAUGUUUCCAGUUUGGUUGCUCGUCAGAAAAAGCAGAGUGUUUUGAAAUUACACAAGUAUAGAAUCUCAGUCAUUGCCAAAUUCAAGAUUUAGCCUUCAGCAUCAAAGGCAGAGCAUCAUCCUUAAGUAGCAAAACUUGACCAAGUCAAAGUUUUUCUGCACAUGAAAAGUCAACUUUAGAUAUGUUACCAUAUAUGGCAUUGCUAUGAUGAUAACGGCCUUAUUAUGUAAUAGGAAUUUUCCUUUUUAUCCCGGAAUCGCAUCCCACCCUAUAUUCCUCACCAUCCCUCAAUUGAUUGCAUCAAAAGAAUGUUACGCUGGGCAUCAUACGGAGAUUAUGCAGUACUGCAUGAGAUUAGUUUCACGUUCUUUUAUUUCACAAUAAAAAAGAAGAAACUCAAAUUUCCAAGUAUCAAUAUUUCUUCACUAGGCGUAUCCUGAGUCCUGACCCCGGGGGCUCCAUCCCUCCCAUCUGAAGGGGGUGUGAGGGUUAAACUAUGGGUUGUUGUUGAUUACAAGUUUUGGAACACUCCCAAAACAUGUCAUUUCAUUAAUUAAGAGCUUUUUACUAUUAGAGGUUUGAUGUGACACCUUCUGAAAACCUUUCUGUGACCCCGUCCCUUAGAGUAACAGUUUCAGGUGGUGCUAGGGAGAUAGUCCAUUCACAAUCAGCUGGUGGAAUGAGAGCAUAUCCUAAUUCAAGAGAUAAAGUACACUGUACAAUUCUCCUGUGGCUAACAGCAGACCUUCAAAGCCAGCUGCAGAUCCUUCCAGUUCUCUUUCCGAGUGGUUAUUAGGGGAGCUAUAAAGGAUAAGCCCCAUUGGGGUAAGGUAUUAGUGAAGAAAUACUCUGAAGCUUUUAAGGAAAACCCUUCAGAUAUACUGGAUGAAAUGUUACAGCUUCCUUUUGUGGGACCUAAUUGUUUAAUUGAAGGCAAUUCUGUCAUUUUCAUGGAGGCAGAAAUUGAACAAAAGAAGGAGGAGGAAGAAGAGGAAGAAACAGAUUAUCCUUCACUGCCUUCUACUGUAGAGUUGCCUUUGUCAUCAGAAGAAGGCAUACAUGUGUAUGCGUAUGCAUUGGUAGCUUCAAUAAAGUCAUUGCUUCACUUUUAUGUACAACACAAUUCACCAUCAACCACUAAAGCAUAUUACAGUGACUUGAGGACUCAUUAUAAACACUUUAAUGAAAAUAAGCAUGGUA